UUCCGUUUCGAUCCCGCUCUACAUCUUAAGGUCUCAGCAUUUAAAAAAACAGUUGAAAACAGAGUUCAGAACCAGUUCAAACUUACAAAUAUAAAAGUUUACAGCCUAGUGCCAAGAAGGGGAGGAUAGACCUGCCUUCUGUAGCUGCAGCAGUUUCCAGGAAACAGAGCCAUUCAUCCAUCAUUCUUCGGUUUAUUUAUGUCAUUUAAAUAAAUAUUCCUCCUGCCAGUUUGUUCAAAUAGACCAAAGCUGUGUACAUAUUUCUCUCCCUCAACAUUUUAUCCUUAACUACAACCCGUUGAAACCAUGUAGGCAGCAGUGGUGACUGGGCCCAGUAGAUCUCGGGAUCUGAACUCAGCGCAGGCCGGUUCCCAGCCCAGCUGCACUUCAGCCAUAGUGCUGAGUUGCCUUCUUUGACAGCUUCCAGACACUAAGGAUGAAGCCCUGCCUGGAAGGUCGGUCGGUGCAGGUCUGAGGCCUGGGACAAGCCCAGAUUUCUUCGCCCGCGGGACUGAAGUUUAUGAUUUACUGCAUUUUAAUCUCAUUUUUUUCCCACUUUCCCAGCCAGUGACACUUCCAACUCCAAGGGUAGGGGGAAGCAAGUUGUAAUCCUAGAGAGGCCGGCCGACGGGAAGGUGGGCAGCAGAGCUGGGGAAGAGGGCGCGCAGCCCAGACUGGACUGUCGCUAGACGGAGGUAAAGGAGAGAGAGGGAGGGGGGGACCCGUUUCCCUGACGCAGGAGGAAUGGAGUUAGAGUGAGAGAGGAGAGGAGAAGAGAAGAGAAGAGAAGGCAGCAUAAACGUAUCCAGUGCAGUCCUGGGAAUGGAGUAGGACUCAAGAAGAUAAAUGAAACGGACGCGAAGAGCGAGUUGCUUUUAGAGGGUGGAAGAGUGGGGCAGCGUACCACCCACCUCUUUUGCAAAGUUAAUGGGGGGAGAUAAAUGGUUUUUCCUUAAAAAGAGGGUAGGGAUCUUCUCUUUCCCUAUGCAAGAGUGCUAAUUCACCCACCCACCCUUCAGACUCGAGCUCGCAGUGCAUUCCUUCACCCGGGCAACGACCUUCCCACCUCGCCUGCUCAUAUAGCGCUUUCCAGGAAUCGGAGUAAAGGUGCAGAGGAAUCGGCUUUGUACGGACGUGAAUAUAAAGUUUCUGACGAUCUGUCUCCAGCCCAGCAACUGAUGAGCUUCUAGGAGGUGGCAGUGCUGGAUUUAAGCCAACAACUCUUUACAAGGAAGUCAUGCUCAACAAUUAUGAAAUGGUGGCCUUUUGAGUAAGAAUACUUUUUCUGAUAAGGUUUCGAACUUGACCUGAUCAAAGUCAGGUUUUUUAAAUAAUAUCCUAUUUUGGUAGAAAUGAUUCUUAUUAAGUCAUUCACUGAUAUUUGAUUGUGAUAAAAACACAGUAUUGUCCUCUGGUGCUUUCCAGCUAUCAGGCACAUAUGCGAAUAACUGAUAGGUGUGUUUUCCUUUAUUCUGUACAAUGCUUCUUCACUGAAAGAUGCAUAGUGUGUUUUUACCCAGGGUAGUUGUGGUUUUUCCACUUGAACUCGGUGAUGCCCAAGUAAUUUACCUGUUUCCUCCAUAGAUCCAGGUUCAUUUCUCAAACCUGAUCU
rnacentral:lncRNA from 1 species